rnacentral:sRNA from 1 species
UGCCCCGUUCGCGGUGUGCUCUUGCUGCGUGGCCUCUUUGUGAAUCACAAACGACUCUCGGCAACGGAUAUCUCGGCUCACGCAUCGAUGAAGAACGUAGCAAAAUGCGAUACUUGGUGUGAAUUGCAGAAUCCCGUGAACCAUCGAGUUUUUGAACGCAAGUUGCGCCCGAAGCCUUUUGGCCGAGGGCACGUCUGCCUGGGCGUCACGCAUCGCGUCGCCCCCCACCAAACAUCCCUUUUGGCGAUGCCUGGUGCGGGGGCGGAGAUUGGCCUCCCGUUCCAACGGUGCGGUUGGCCAAAAACUGAGUCCCCUUCGGUGGACGCACGGCAAGUGGUGGUUGAUAAAACUCUCGUCUCGUGUCGUGCGUUCUAAGCAUCGAUGGGCUAGCUCUCCAAAGACCCCAA